CCCCAUACACACACUGCCAACAUAUACACUGCCCCCCAUACACACCAUACACAUUCACACACUGCUCCCCCAUACACACAUUGCCCCACACACACAUACACUGCCCCUCAUACAUACACAUUCACACAUUGCCCCCACACACAUACACUGCCCCACACACACACAACCCCCCAUACACAUGUUGCCCCAUGCACACAUACACAGCCCCCCAUACACACAUUGCCCCACACACACAUACACAGCCCCCUAUACACACAUUGCUCCCCACACAAACUAUAGACACAUUGCCCCACACACCCGACACAUUCACACACUAAACCCCCCCACACACACACACAAACUGAACCUUUCACACACACUGCACCCCUCACACAUUGCACCACUCACACACACCACUGCUCCUAUACCCUACUACAGACCCCAGAUAAGUUGUCAAACUGUUCUUAAAUGGUUUGACUACUUGCUCUGGGAGGGGGACCCGGCACUCCUGGCACCAUAACCACUGCACAGGGCUGUAGUGGUUAUUGUGCAUGGAUUAUUUAUUUAAAUAAUCUACAAGUGCCCCUCCCGAGAUAAGGCUCUGGAUCCACCACUGUUGUUAACGUAAGACUCACCUAAGAGAUUUGCUUUGAUAUUAGUAGGUGAACCUGCAUUAUAAUGACCAUUGCAAUUUUACUAGAAAUCUCAGGGGGUUUUUUUAUGUACAUUGACCUUUAGAAUAAUGCACAACAAAAAUAACUUUAUUUUUUUUAAUUUUUUUUGGAGACAGAUAACUACUUUUAAUAGACUGGCCAUUUUUGGUGAAAUGUAAUUAACAACCAGUGGAGGUAACGUGCCAAAUGUACGAUUUGCUGUUCUAGAAUGUCUAAUUUCAGUGUUUUUUUCCUUUUAAUUUUCACGUUUAUCUUGAGGUAAGGCAGAUGCAUGUAUUUUACUUCAUUAGCUUUGUGUUAUGGGCUCCUUUGUUUUCUUUAAAUAUUUUGCCAUUUAACAGAGCACACGAUACUUUACAUUUAUUAUUAAAACAGAACUGUCACUUCUCUAGAUAUAACUUAAUUGAAUAAAAAAUGGAAAAUCA